GAUGAACGCUGGCGGCGUGCUUAACACAUGCAAGUCGAACGGAAAGGCCCUGCUUUUGUGGCGUUCUCGAGUGGCGAACGGGUGAGUAACACGUGAGUAACCCGCCCUUGUCUUUGGGAUAACUUCAGGAAACUGGGGCUAAAACCGGAUAGGAGCUCCUGAUGCAUGGAGGGGGUUGGAAAGUUUCGGCGGUUGGGGCUGGACUCGCGGGUUAGCGGCUUGUUGGGCGGGUUGGGGAUGACGAAGGCUUUGACGGGUAGGCGGCGUGAGAGGGGGGCGGGCCACCUUGGGACUACGCUACGGCCCAGACUCCUACGGGAGGCAGCGGUGGGGAAUAUUGCGCAAUGGGCGGAAGCCUGAUGCAGCAACGCCGCGUGCGGGAUGACGGCCUUCGGGUUAAAAACCGCUUUGGCCGGUGACGAAGCGUGAGUGACGGUACUGGAUAAAGAAGCACCGGCUAACUACGUG
rnacentral:rRNA from 1 species